UUUUGACGUCACUUCAUCAGGAAGUAAACAACAAUGGCUGUACGUUGUACUAAUAAGUUGCACUACUCGUUUUUAUUCGUAUUUGUAUUGGUGUGUGUUUUGUUUGGAAAGUCGGCCAGCUCUUUGACUUCAGAUAAACCUGGACAUGGUGAAUUCAAACAUUUCCGAAGUUUUCGAAGUGUUUCAGAGCCUACAGCUCCACCACCAGGGGUCAGGCUGCACCCCGGUGUCGUCGCCUCCGUCGUAAUCGUCGCAACUGCUGCAAUAGUGGCUGCAUUUUUUAUUAUUAGGAAAUACUGUUUCCCGCAGAGUGAUGCCACAUACAGAUACUCUGUGCUGAGGCGGAUGGAGGAGCAGAGAGAGGAAGAAUCUGAUGAGUGCAGUGGAAGAGCAAGCGUGACGUGUAGAGCGCGUGAGAGCAGUUUGGCGUCUUCUCAAAGUUUUCUGCGACAUUGUCUUUUUGCUUUUGUUUCAUUUAAUUAUUGAAUGUUUAAGUUAUGUAAGUAGCAGUAGCCGGUAAAAGUUGAGAGCGGGUGGGAGUGAGCGGGCGUCCCGCUCUCUGAGGCCGGAGGGGAGACGCUGUCUCUCCGCCAUGGCGUCAGGUGUGUGCCGGAGGAUGGAGAACAGGUGGAGGAGGUUCUGCUAGCGGUGGGAGAGCAGGUCCGGUGGGAGAGCAGGUCGGGUGCGAGAACAUCUACACUGCCUAUUCUGGAUGAACAACGCAGUGGAGGUUUUUCCUAAAAAAAAAUUUUUUUUUAAAGUACAAAUUUGUCAAUACGCUGUCUGAAAAAGGAAUAUGGCUAAAGGGUGUCAUGAUGCACAUUACCCCUCUAUCUGCCCCUGCAACGCGGGUCGUCAUUUCCAACGUGCCCCCAUUCAUAAAAAACGAGUUGGCCCACUUCGGAAAGUUCACCCCCCAUGACUGCUAUUCAGCUCGGCUGUAAGAACUCUGCAGUGAAACACGUCCUGUCUUUUCGCAGACAAGUUUACAUGUUUAUAAACAACCAAAUACUGAAUGUAAAUUUCAAGUGCAAAGACGGGGACAGCAGCUACACCGCCUUGGCCACCACCACCGCCUGAGAUGUUUUGCGUGUGAGGGGUAUAAACGGUAGAGCUGUGCAGCCAGGGAACUCCGGGGGCGACACAGCCGGGGUACAGCAGCAACAGUGCGGAGACAGCCAGCACGAGAACACCGGAGAACAGGAGCCUGGGGCAGAUGAGGGCAAUGACACACCGGAGCCAGAGCUGACAGAGGUCAGUAAAGAACAAAACAAAAACAGCACAGUACCCAGUGAUGACUCCCUUGCCGAUGCUAACACUGAAACGAACACCUAAGAUAGCAUUUAUUGCAAACCCCGUACCGCUAUCGGCAUCAGAGCCAGCAGUGACCCCGGGCCUCAUGUCCACACUGAGGAUGAUCCUGACUCGGAACAGCAGAAGAACCCACAGGCACUGAGCAACACUAAGGAGAAAAAUAAAGCUGAGCUGGAAAGACCAGGAGAGAAGAUGGACAAGGUGGUGGAAUCAUCCAAACAGCCACAGCACAGUGUUGUGAUGCAGGAGAACUUGUGCCCAGAGUGCAGCGCAGGAGCUACAGGAGAGGAACCGCUCACAGACAUGGAGGAGGAAGAGGUCAAUCCAGAUCAGCUAAAUACUUUUAACUUUUCAGAACAGCCUGAACAGCUUUACACCAUGGACCAGAUUAACCAGUUUUUAGAACUGACCAAAGGAAAAUGGAACAUCUCACUGACAGAUUAACUACUUUGUCAAAUCUGCACAACACGUAACAAGAAAUGAAAACCUGAACGUGCUGUCAACACGGAGACGCUUCAGACUGAGGACAUGGACAUCAGUUGCAAAAAAGGCCUUAAUAUAAAAAGGCCUGUUUACUUUCACACAGAUCUAUGACAAUAAUGGAUUUACAGUAAGACUGAAGGGGU
ensembl:lncRNA